rnacentral:sRNA from 1 species
CGCUGGUUAGACGUGAGGUCGAAC